UUGCUUUCUUCAGUAGCACAUCUACUAAAAUUGGAAAGCGAGAGAUUAGCAUGGCUCCUGCACCAGGAUGAUACACAAAUUCAUGAAGCAUUCCAUAUUGUG
ensembl:snRNA U6 U6 spliceosomal RNA